AAGCUCAAGAUAGAGUACAUCAAAUAGGGCAACAUAAACCAGUCAUGAUUGUGAGAUUUAUUAUCGAGCCUACAAUGGAAGAGAAGAUCUUAGAGUCAUAAGAGAAGAAGAAACAUCUUUAAAGGCAAGUGUCUUUUCCUUAUAGUCAUUUAGAUAGUUGCAUAUGUGUUGUGAUAAAAAUAUAUAUGUUUCCUUCAGUUGCAGAGGUCUCCAGAAGGUGUAGGAGUCAAGCAAUGUUCUAUUAGAUAGUAGAACUGAUAGUUAAGACAAGUUGAGAGCUCAGAAAACCUUUUUGUUACAUUCCUUCUUUGUUCCGACAAAACCUUUCUGUUACAUUCUUCUUUAUUCCGACCCUCCCUUCCUCCGCUCUUUCUCUAGAAAACAUUUUCCUGUAAGUGUUUGUUUUUCCUCUACAUACUGAACUUCCAACUUUUCGGUUGCAGGACAGUCGGUGGUUCUUGAGAUGGGUUAGGAAAGCUAACAAAAGAGGACUUGGCUCCCACGUUCUUGAUAUGUUCUAUUUCUUCUAUUUGACAAGCUAAUUGACAUAUGCUUUGUUUAGCUUCUAGCAAAAAAAUUGUACAAAGUGUUCUGACAUUUUCCCGUAGGCUGUACCGCUUUUGAUUUGACCAUAGUGAGUUGUUGUUGCUUCUGCAUCAUAGUUGAUAAGAAUCGCCUUCAACAGUCAA